CGGACAGCCGGACGCGGGUAGCUUGGCCGUUCCUUGCUCUGCGCAUCGCUUGAAAACCGGCGGUCAUCCUGCAGUGUACGCUGCCAGCGUGCUUUCUUGCCAGAGCCGCCUCCCCUGCUGGUGAUGACCAUAUGCAGCCAAUGCUGAUGUGAACCCGAGUGAUGAACAAAUGCAGAUCUGCAAAGGAGCUGUCCUGAGGCGCCAUGCUUACUCAAGUCAUGCAGCGAGAGUCAGCAUGCCUGGAAAAGUACUUCAAAGCACACCCCAUCUGGCUGACUGCACUACCUCAAGAAAACUGCCUUUCUCCCAUCUGCAAGUUCCUAAGAAGUUACUUUAUGAAGCAAGCCAGCAGGGCGUACGUGUGAGGCAUGGCAGCACGGAGAACAAAUAAACAUGAGUAUUUGGUGCAAGAUGCAUUCAUUGAUUUCGUGCUGC